GGCAGUAUGCCCGAGUGGUUAAGGGGUCAGUCUUGAAUUUAUGCUGAAACAAUUCACGUCGCAACUGAUGCGAUCUUCGUGCCAGAGUUCAAAUCUCUGUGCUGCCG